rnacentral:rRNA from 1 species
UACAGAGGGCGCGAGCGUUAAUCGGAAUUACUGGGCGUAAAGGGCGCGUAGGCGGCGUGACAAGUCACUUGUGAAAUCUCCGGGCUUAACUCGGAGCGGCCAAGUGAUACUGUCGUGCUAGAGUGCGGAAGGGGCUACUGGAAUUCUCGGUGUAGCGGUGAAAUGCGUAGAUAUCGAGAGGAGCACCUGCGGCGAAGGCGGGUAGCUGGGCCGACACUGACGCUGAGGCGCGAAAGCUAGGGGAGCGAACGGG